rnacentral:tRNA from 1 species
GGCCCGGUGGCGGAAUUGGCAGACGCUGGGGACUUAAAAUCCCUUGCCCCCCGGGGCGUGUGGGUUCGAGUCCCACCCGGGCCA